UACGUAGGGUGCGAGCGUUAAUCGGAAUUACUGGGCGUAAAGCGUGCGCAGGCGGUUUUGUAAGCCAGAUGUGAAAUCCCCGGGCUUAACCUGGGAAUGGCAUUUGGGACUGCAAGGCUCGAGUGCGGCAGAGGGGGAUGGAAUUCCGCGUGUAGCAGUGAAAUGCGUAGAUAUCAGGAGGAAUACCGAUGGCGAAGGCAGGUCUCUGGGCUGACACUGACGCUCAUGCACGAAAGCGUGGGGAGCAAACAGG
rnacentral:rRNA from 1 species